UGGCCCUUGCCCAAGUGUCUGAAGGUUACC
rnacentral:piRNA from 1 species